AUAUUGCACAAUGGGCGAAAGCCUGAUGCAGCAACGCCGCGUGAGUGUUGAAGGCCUUCGGGUCGUAAAGCUCUUUGAUCAGGGAUGAUAAUGACAGUACCUGAAAAACGAGCCACGGCUAAUUACGUUCCAUACGCCGCGGUAAUACGAAGGUGGCGAACGUUGGCCGGAAUUACUGGGUGUAAAGGAUGCGUAGGUGGAUACUUAAGUGGGAUGUGAAAGCCCCGGGCUCAACCCGGGAACUGCAUUCCAAACUGGAUAUCUAGAGUGCAGGAGAGGAAAGCGGAAUUCCUAGUGUAGCGGUGAAAUGCGUAGAUAUUAGGUGAAACACCAGUGGCGAAGGCGGCUUUCUGGACUGUAACUGACACUGAAGCAUGAAAGCGUGAGUAGCAAACAGG
rnacentral:rRNA from 1 species